GUAGACGUAUAUGACGAUAUCUAUGGUAGAGGAGGCUCGUGUCCCUAGUUUAUUUCAAUGAGUCGUAUUUUUUGCAUUGCGUUUGCCAAAUGCGGACUGUAACUUUGUGGAAAACUGCAACAAAAUGGUUAAUCGACGCUCUUAAAUGGAGAAUAGGCAGAAGUUGAGCUGCACCACUUCAAAUGAAUGAAAACUGAAUCUCAGAAAGACUGGCUCUACGUGCCAGCUGAAUAGUCUCUGUUUCAACACUUCAUCACCCUUGGCCACUUCAGUCCCACCCCUACCAAUCCACCAGGAUCUUUGGUUACACCCUCCAUGUGAGGACCACAAAGCAGUGCUUUGCAUUAAAAACCCUGCUCUUCUAGAUUCUUCCACAACAAUCUCAUGAAGAAUCAGGCUGAUCUUCAACACCUAAGCCAGCAACUAGUUACAAGCGUUGUGCAUCAGAGCAUGUAUUCCUUCCACCUCCGCCCCAUGCAGCCCAGAAGAGAAACUGAUUUGGCUGCUGAGGAUGUGUGUACCGCCCCACACCCUUCUCCAGCAUCCUGUGAACGAGCUAUGGGCUGUAUCAGUGCAAAUUACCGCCUGCCUUGAGGAGUUCUAAAAAUUCUAACGCGAAGAGGGGAGUCACAAUUAAUGCAUGCUUUAGUAAAUUAUACGGGAUACUUAAUUGGUCUAAUUUACAUAAUCUCCACCCUGUUUUAGCGUGUUCACUCUAGGUGUGCAUAUGAAUGGACUCAUUUAACUGUGAAUCAAAAGGAAAGCUGCAGUGACGUUAUCCCUGCAAAAUACAUCCUGAUAGUGAUUUUCACGCAUUGUGUCCAUUUAGUAAAUCCGACAUACAUAUUGUGACCUUGUAGCGACUGCUUUUGGUGCUGGAAAAGCAGUUGCGAUCCUUUAGUAAAUCUGGAAUUUAGAAUACAUGUUGCAAAUCUCCUGCCCACCACAUUUCACCUGAAGGGAUUGGACAGCAGGAUUAAUUCGGGAAUGGAGAGUUGUUCCCAAAUGAGUCAGUAUUGAUUUCAUUUGCAUCCCUUUGAUUCUAAAUAACACACACAACUGAAGCGGAGUCUAUUUGGAGACUCGAUUCAACACCUUGUUAUUCAUAAAUAAGUUAUAAUUUUGAUUAGCCCGUAUGUCAUCUGACUGAAUAUAGUGUUUAAUUAUCUUGGUCUGGUCCUCAUUAAUUAUUUCAAGGGCCGGAAGGAAGCGUAAUUUUUUCAGACGUGUGAACUUUUAAUAAAGUGUUUAGGAGGUUGUCGGAGCAGGAGGGACAGUCCGAACAAUGCAAAUUGACUUCGCGUAGACUUUUUAAUUUUAGAAUUCAGACUGAUAUUACUAUCCAUUCAGAUUUCACAGUUUAAAUUUCCUCCUCCAACAUUACCCAG